AUGAGUUCCUUGCGACGCGAGCGGCCCUUGCAGGACUACCACAACCUCCGCGCGGCUGCCUUCAACUCCCAGGCUCGGGAGCUGACCCAGAAGAAUGCUGAUCUAUCUGAGAGCCGGGCGGCCAACGCCAAACUGAGGGAGCAGCUGGGUGGGACUCAGGCCGCCCUCCGCGCUAAGGAGGCCGAGUUUGACGCCUUAGCCCAGGAGCGUGACCGCCUGGCCAAGAGGCUGGCCGACCAGGAGAAGAGCCACAAGGCGGCCCUGAAGGCGGUGCAGGACAGCGAGGCCACCCUCCAAGCCGAAUAUGAGACAGAGGCGGCAAGCUGGGCCGAGGCGAGGCAGUCGCUGAUCAACGGCUACGGCCAGAUCGAAGACUUGGUUGACGAGUACUUCCCUGGCUACUCUACUGCCGCCAACCAGGUCGUCGAGGCCCACCGCGAGGCACAAAGGCAGGCUGGCGCCGAGAUCGCGACGAACGCUCGCCGGUCGCUGGAGGAGCAGCUCUUGGCGAUUCAAGCCCGCCUCCAGCCGGCUCACCGCAUGCUCCGCCGGCUUCAGCGUGUUGGGGCGCAGGUGUUGGCCGCUCUCUGGCCUGGUGAGGUGAUUCCCCGCACCCCUAGUCGGACUGCCGACUGGCUGGAGGUGGCGGUCGGCCGCUUCGAGGCCUGGAAGGCUUCUGCGGCUCGGUCCGGCGCCAGACGGGCGCUGGAGUUCGUCAAGGCCUGGUAUCCCGAGCUGAGUCUGGACCAGCUAGCCACCUGGCGGCAGGAGGCCGACACGGAGCUGGAGCCGGCGCGGCCGGCUAUCAUCCAGCGGGCUUCGGCGAUUGCCGACUACACCGACACCAGCGCCUUCGCUCCUGAGGUGGACGACAACGGCGUUACCCAGCCGGAGGAGUGGUUCGGGCUGAACCCGGCAGAUGGCGAGGACUCGACGGAGGAGAUCGACUCCAGCAACGAGGGCGAGGAGGAGGAGGAGGAGGGUGAAGACGCCGCGCCAGAUGGUGGAGCGGCCGGUCAGCCUCAGCUUGACCGUGCCUCCAGCAACAAGGCACGCGCGGGUGCACCACCUGCAGCCGGCGAUGAUCAAGCCGAGACCCGCCAGCCGGCCACUCCUCCAGCCAGCGACGCCAUCUCCACCGACCAGCCCGGCUCCCCUGCUGCGCCCUUAGUCUAG
rnacentral:rRNA from 1 species